rnacentral:rRNA from 1 species
AAAUUGAAGAGUUUGAUCAUGGCUCAGAUUGAACGCUGGCGGCAGGCCUAACACAUGCAAGUCGAACGGUAACAGGAAGCAGCUUGCUGCUUCGCUGACGAGUGGCGGACGGGUGAGUAAUGUCUGGGAAACUGCCUGAUGGAGGGGGAUAACUACUGGAAACGGUAGCUAAUACCGCAUAAUGUCGCAAGACCAAAGAGGGGGACCUUCGGGCCUCUUGCCAUCGGAUGUGCCCAGAUGGGAUUAGCUUGUUGGUGGGGUAACGGCUCACCAAGGCGACGAUCCCUAGCUGGUCUGAGAGGAUGACCAGCCACACUGGAACUGAGACACGGUCCAGACUCCUACGGGAGGCAGCAGUGGGGAAUAUUGCACAAUGGGCGCAAGCCUGAUGCAGCCAUGCCGCGUGUAUGAAGAA